rnacentral:rRNA from 1 species
UUUUAGAUUUUAAUUUAAAGUCUAACCUGCCCAAUGAGGAUUUAAAUGGCCGCAGUAUUUUGACUGUGCAAAGGUAGCAUAAUCAUUAGUUUCUUAAUUAGUAACUGGAAUGAAAGGUUGGACGAGAAAAUAACUGUCUCUUUAUAAAUUAUUUAGAAUUUUAUUUUUAAGUUAAAAAGCUUAAAUUUAUUUAAAAGACGAGAAGACCCUAUAGAGUUUAAUUAAUUUAUUAAUAAAAUCUUAUUUUGAAUUUAUAAAUUUUUAUUAAUAAAUUAAUUUAAUUGGGGUGAUUGAAAAAUUUAUUUAACUUUUUUUUUAUAGCAACAUUAAUUUAUGAAUAUUUGAUCCAUUAUUAUGAUUAUAAGAUUAAAUUACCUUAGGGAUAACAGCGUAAUUUCUUUUUAGAGUUCUAAUCGAUAAAGAAGUUUGCGACCUCGAUGUUGGAUUAAAAUUAAUUUUUGGUGUAGUAGCUAAAAUAUUAGGUCUGUUCGACCUUUAAAAUUUUACAUGAUCUGAGUUUAAACCGGUGUGAGCCAGGUUGGUUUCUAUCUUUAAAUAUAUUUAAUAUUUUAGUACGAAAGGACCAGAUAUUAUAAAUAAUUUUAUUUAUAAUGAAUAUUAUUAAUUA